rnacentral:misc_RNA from 1 species
CAAAAAGCCACUAAGAGGUAAGAAAAAGGGCUGAAUUCGCCUGCAUGGUGCUGGGUGCUGCAGAAUGAGCUUCUUUGACUUCUCAGCAAGCUCUUCUGAGAGCAGCAGUCAGUCGGACAACAGCAGCAAGGUGGAUGACCGGAUCAAGCUUACGUACGCUGAAACAGUGGUUUCUUUGGCAACUGCUGUUGGCCUCGUGAUCAUUGUUUUGCUGGAUCUUCUUUACAGAAGCACCUCCCGUCAUGCAAUGCUUCUCAGAGUUCAACGCGAAACGCGUUUUGACGGUGCCUAUAUUCUUGGUAAACCAGAAGGAAACCGUGCGCGAAUAAUUUUGGAAAAUGGGCUGAAGACACAUGAGUUUCGUAUCCGCCACCCUCCUCAGUACUCAAGAGUGGUUCCCGCCGUCGUCUCGGAUUCGCGCGACGCAAAGCAAGACUGUGUUGAGAUGCUUAGCAAAGUACGCUCAAUACUUUCUAAGUCGUACGGAAGAUGCGCGGAAUUGAUGUCCAUGCGCUGCUGUCUUGCCUGUGUCACAGGCGCUCUUCCAGGUGAGCAGUCAGAGCGUUUUCUUCGAAUAUAUGAAAGGGUCAUGUUUUGCUCACACCGAGUGAACGGAGACGAGAAGCUUGUCACAUCAGAUGAUAUACGGUACAUGCAUGCCUUCUACUAUAAUAAUGUACUCAAAGUUCUGCAAUGAUCGAAGUGAGCAUCUGAUUUUGCAGCUCAAUUACGUUUUCUUUUUUUUGUUGUUGCUUCUUUCGUCUUUUUUUUUUGCUGUCUGCUUGUCAAGCGCUCUUGUGAGGGAGACACUUAGAUGAAGCGACUCACCGCUAUCUUCUUACAAACCAAGAGUG